GGUUCCAUAGCGUAAGGGUUAACACGUUGUGAAUGCCUCUUUUAAGACCAAGGAUUUCUGUGGAGACUCCAGGUUCGAUUCCUGGUGGGGCCG